rnacentral:rRNA from 1 species
GUGCACCAGUCGCGAAUACUUUACAAUGUGCGAAAGCACGAUAAGGGAACUCUGAGUGCCUCCUAAGGAGGCUGUUCUGAUGUCUAAAAGCAACAGAAGUAAGGGCUGGGUAAGACCGGUGCCAGCCGCCGCGGUAACACCGGCAGCCCAAGUGGUAGCCACGUUUAUUGGGUCUAAAGCGUUCGUAGCCGGCCAGGUAAGUUCCUUGGUAAAUUUAGCCGCUUAACGGUUAAGCUUUCAGGGAAUACUGCUUGGCUUGGGACUGGGAGAGGUCAGAGGUACUCCGGGGGUAGGGUGAAAUCUAUUAAUCCCUGGGGGACCACCGGUAGCGAAGGCGUCUGACCAGACCAGGUCCGACGGUGAGGGACGAAGGCUA